UUUGGUUCUUUCAAUUUGGAAGAUCGUAAUCGAGUGCGGCAUUUUUCUUUAGACAACAAUUAUUCUGGAUAUCGUUGUUUUGUAGAUGGAUCUUGGAAAGAUACCGACAAGUUUUCAGGCUUAGGAUGGUACUGUACAUCAUCAACUGGAGAGACAUCAACUUUGGGAGCUGCCAAUCUCAGAAGAAGUCUAUCUCCUUUACAUGCCGAGGUGGAAGCUCUCCUCUGGGCGAUGAAGUGUAUGAUUGGUGCCGACAACCAAGAUGUAGAUUUUUUUACAGACUGUUCAGAUCUGGUGGAGAUGGUGUCUUCCCCAACCGAAUGGUCGGCUUUCUCAUCGUAUUUGGAGGAGUUACAGAGCGACAAGGAUGAGUUCACAAACUUUUCUCUAUCUUUAAUCUCUCGUAGUACUAAUGUUAAAGCGGAUUUUUUGGCACGAAAAGUUUGUACCCAACCGCUUCAUAUUACAUUUGUAAACAAUAUUCUUCAGGAUUGGCUCGUUUGAGUCCUAAUUAAUUUUCAGAUGACAAAAAAAA
rnacentral:sRNA from 1 species